CAGGUGUGGUUCAAUGGUAGAACACCAGCCUUCCAAGCUGGUAACGUGGGUUCGAUUCCCAUCACCUG
rnacentral:tRNA from 1 species